rnacentral:rRNA from 1 species
GACAAACGCUGGCGGCGUGCUUAACACAUGCAAGUCAAACGAAACAAUUGAAAGCUUGCUUUUGAAAGUCAAGUGGCAAACGGGUGAUUAACGCGUAAACAACCUGCCUUUGAAAUGGGGACAACAGUUCGAAAGGACUGCUAAUACCGAAUGUUGUAUAUUUUCCACAUGGAAAAUAUAUUAAAGAUGGCCUCUAUUUAUAACCUAUCGCUCAAAGAUGGGUCUGCGUCUGAUUAGCUAGUUGGGGGGGUAAUGGCCUACCAAGGCAACGAUCAGUACCCGGUCUGAGAGGAUGAACGGCCACAUUGGGACUGAGACACGGCCCAGACUCCUACGGGAGGCAGCAGUGGGGAAUCUUCCACAAUGGACGAAAGUCUGAUGGAGCAACGCCGCGUGAGUGAAGAAGGGUUUCGGCUCGUAAAGCUCUGUUGUCGGGGACGAACGUGAGAUACUUGAAUAAAGUGUCUUAAUGACGGUACCUGACGAGGAAGCCACGGCUAACUACGUG